CGACAUGUGAACCUGGUAAAACAAAUGAAAAGAACAAAAGAUCAGCUGUCUGGUGGAGCGCUGGGUCUAACCGGUGUAACGGCAGCAACAGAACGUUUGCUGAUCCGGUGGGGAGUCGGGGCGGUCCUGGGAUCAGAGUCCUGGUGCUGGGUUUACACUGGCUGAAUAUGAGCUAACUGCUAACUAGGGACUUUCUGGCUGUAGACUCUCAGAUACUCACUGUGAAGUUGUGGCCUCAGCUCUGAAGUCCAACCCCUCCCAUCUGAGAGAGCUGAACCUGAGUGAAAACGACCUGGAGGAUUCAGGAUUGAAACUGCUGUCUGCUGGACUGGAGAGUCCAAACUGUAGACUGGAGACUCUGAGAUUGAGUGGCUGCAGGUUGUCAGAGAUCAGCUGUGCUUCUCUGGCCUCAGCUCUGAAGU